rnacentral:misc_RNA from 1 species
UCUCCGUAGGUGAACCUGCGGAGGGAUCAUUACAGAGUUCGUGCCCUCACGGGUAGAUCUCCCACCCUGUGUUAUUAUACCUUUGUUGCUUUGGCGGGCCGCCCUCGGCUACCGGCCCCGGCUGGUACGCGACCGCCAGAGGACCCCAAACUCUGAAUGUUAGUGUCGUCUGAGUACUAUACAAUAGUUAAAACUUUCAACAACGGAUCUCUUGGUUCUG